rfam:Brassica napus, WGS project CCCW01000000 data, contig: 3713
GGAAGUUAAGAAACUGUUUCUUAACUUUUAACUUAAAAAGUUAAGAACCAGUUUUUAAAUAAUGACUUUAAGAACCGGUUUUUAGCUUUUUUAGUUAAAAGUUAAGAAACAGUUUCUUAACUUCC